GCCCUGGUUGAUUAAUGGAAAUCACCCACCACUGAUACAGCCUCUCCGAUGGCAUUCACGUGGGAGAUGGAGGUUCGAAUCCUCCUCGGGGCA